rnacentral:ncRNA from 2 species
UGCUCAUCCAGAGGAGUGGAGGGACCGGCCCGAUGAAGCUCCGCCAACCCGUAGCCACUGGAUCGAGCAGCCGGUGCGAUACGCGCCGCUUCUCGACACUGGCAGGCUAUAGGGUGGCAAUUCCGGCAGCGCAGGCUGGAAGAUGAGUG